GAAUGGAGAGCAGGGAGGGCCUGAGAGUGGGCUCGUCGCCCGCCCGCCAGCCCGCCCCUCCCAGGCCCACCCUCUCCCUCCCUCCCUCCCUGGCCGGGAUGCCCGGAGCCCUUGGUUGAGGCGGGAGGAUCAGCAGCCCUCUCCCAACAGUGCAGCCAAGGCCGGGCCAUGGGCAGCGGGAGCAGCAGAAGCAGGCGGGUGCGGAGGCAGCUGCGCAGCCCUGAUAAGAGCCCAGGGGUCCCUGGUGUCCAGGAGUUGAGCGAUGGGCAGCACGGCACUGAGGCCUGCCAGGAGGAGGAGGACGCGAAGGAUGGGCAGGAGGAAGGCUCAAAGAAAAGGGCCCACGGGGACUGCGCUGUCCAAGACUCUGAGUCUCCCCCAAAAGGGGAGGAGAAUGAGCCGGAGUCAGAAUCACUGCUGCUGGACCAGGUAUUGGCCGAGUCGGAAGCCUGGGACCCAGCAUUCGAACCCUGGCCAAGUCGGGCCUCCCGCUGUCGACCGGGGCCGAACCCACACCUGGGUGGGGCUCCCCGCUCCCAGGCGAACCUCAGCAGCAGCGGAGAGAGCAAGGUAUCUCCUGUACAGAGCACUCAGGAUAUAGAGAACAAUAACACCUUUGAGACUUCUACCAGAAGCAGCAAGAGGCCUGAAAGACAAACUCCCAUCUUGUACGACUGCUCAGAAGAGGAGCUGAUGGCAAGCAUUGAGCGGGAGUAUGGCCGCUGAGAGUUGACACGAGCCAGGGAAGACUCUUGAUUUUGGAGGACAGCCCCUGAGCAGUGAAAAAGGCACAUUGUCCAUGGAGAUGGGAGGCAACAUCAGCUUCUGUCCCUGCCCCUUCUCCCCAUCAGCCAGGAGCUCACACAAUACAUAACCCAGUGGGGUCAAGUUAUUCCUCCACUAAGGGAAUCAUCUCUAGUAGGCAACUGGUCAGUGGGGAGGAAGGUGUAGAGCCUUCCAGUAAGACAGCAAUCAUUUUUGAAAUGUAUUUAUAGAUCCUUAGACUAUUAUGUCUUGAUGGGACCUUCGAGAUCAUCUGGUCCAACAUUAGUAUUUUGCAGGUGAGGGAGCUGAGGUCCAGAGAGUCUUAAAGAUAACUUCCUAAGAUCAUACAAGGUGCUAAUGCUGACCAGAACUUGAAACUGGGUCUCUUGAGUAUUCAGCCAGUACUCUUUCUGCUGUACUAUCCUAUAUUCCACUUGAUAGCUGGCUUUUAAAAAUGUGACCUUUCAGAAGUCAGCUCCAAAAGGUAGUCUUUAGCAUGGCUGGCCAUCUCGCAUUGUUGUCUGAAGUGUCUGGCCAAGGACUGACUGUAUUGAGAAUCAUUCUUACAUGGUAUAGUGGAAAGAACACUGUCUCUGAGCAAUCAGAGGACCUGAGCUCAAUUCUCAACUCUAAUAUUUAGCAGCUGUGUGACCUUGGCCAAGUUACUUGUUGUCCAGUCAUUUUCAGUCAUUCCCUCCAGCUCUAGAGAUAUGAUCUAUAAUGAUCCAGACUGGAUAUUUGGCAAACUGAAGGGAAACUAAACUAGGGUGUUCUAUAAGUAACCUGUUCCUCUGUUUAUUCUUUUAAGUGUGGGGGUGGGGAGGGAAAACACUACAUAUUUAAAUUCAAGAGACAGCCUUUUGGGACCAAUUGACCCUUCAUGGGGUCCCAGUUCCCUCAUCUAUGAAAUGAAGGGGUUGAACUGGUCCCUUCCACCACUGACAUUCCUGUGAAUCUAAAUAUUUCCCUGAUGUCUGAAAAACAUCUCUGGCCUGGGCAUAGAGACUGAAAGGCAGCUCAAUACUACUUUAUUUGAAUGUGACUUUGGGUAAGACACUUCCUGUCACAGGGCCUUGUUUCCCCAUCUGUAAAAUGAAAGUGUUAGAGUAGAUGACCUCAAAGAUCCCUCCUAGCUCCCACACCAGCCAACCCUUGUAGCCUAUGUGAUCGCAUCAUUUCACUUAUCUGGAUCUCAGUUUCCUCAUCUAUAAAAUAAAGGUAAUAAUACAACCA
ensembl:lncRNA